AUGUUUAGCUCUUCCGGGCGCGUCCACAAGACGCCGGUAAACACAGCGUCGACCAUUGUCGCCGAAGGUGUGUCCGGAUCACAUGUCCUCACAGUUCAGGGAUACUCCCAUACCCUUGGACUCGGCGUCUGCAGGUCUAUUCCGUCGGGCAUAUUCAGCGUCGGGGGACAUACUUGGAAAAUCCUCUACUACCCCGACGGCGUCAACAGAGAAUUUGCUGAUUGGAUAUCUUUUUCUCUACUUCUUCAUGCCGCGGAUGAUGACGACGCUGAUGAUGCUGGUAGCAGUACGCUAGGUAUCAAAGUAAGAUGCAGGUUUAGCCUGCUCGACCAGGUGGGCGUGCCGGUGCUAAAUCACACGUCGCCAUACAGGACUACCACAUGUUAUGCACAGGGCCACGGAAUUACAUCUCAUGGAUUCAUCAAAAGGGAGGAACUGGAGAACUCGCCGUAUCUUAAAGCUGAUUGUUUCAACAUCAAGUGUGAUGUCAGCGUCACCACGGGGAUCCGUACGCAGCCCAAAUCACAACAAUUUAUCACUGUGCCGCCUUCUGACAUGCCUCAUCAACUUGGCCGUGUCUUGGAGACCGGUGAGAUUGCGGACGUGACAUUUGAGGUCCGUGGUGAGACAUUUGUUGCGCAUAGGCGUUUGCUCGCGGUUCGGUCCUCGGUGUUCAUGGUGCAACUCUUCGGUCCAAUGAAGGAGGAUGAGGCAACGUGUAUACGGAUCGAUGACAUGGAAGCUAGAGUGUUCAAGAUGAUGCUACACUUUAUCUACACCGACACGCUCCCUAAUAUAGAUGCCGGUGAAAACACGGAGAUGGCUCAACAUUUGUUUGUGGCGGCAGACAGAUAUAAUCUAGAGAGGCUAAAGUUGAUUUGCGUGAAUAUGUUAUGCAACCACAUGAACGCAAGUAUGGUGGCAACGACAUUGGCACUUGCUGAGCAACAUGAUUGUGACAAGCUCAAGAAGGCAUGGUACAAGUUCCUCACUCAUUUUCAAAAUUUGAAGGCGGUAAUAGUGAGCGACGGCUUUAAGCAUCUCAAGAGCAUUCGCCCCAAUAUUCUAGAGGAGAUACUAGAUCGUCAGGCGGCUGAUGCUCCUUGA
rnacentral:rRNA from 1 species